UACGUAGGGGGCAAGCGUUGUCCGGAAUCAUUGGGCGUAAAGAGCGUGUAGGCGGCCCGAUAAGUCCGCCGUGAAAGUCCAGGGCUCAACCCUGGAAUGCCGGUGGAAACUGUCGGGCUGGAGUCCGGAAGAGGCGAGUGGAAUUCCUGGUGUAGCGGUGAAAUGCGCAGAUAUCAGGAGGAACACCAAUGGCGAAGGCAGCUCGCUGGGACGUUACUGACACUGAGGCGCGAAAGCGUGGGGAGCGAACAGG
rnacentral:rRNA from 1 species